GACGAACGCUGGCGGCGUGCCUAAUACAUGCAAGUUGAGCGCUGAAGGUUGGUACUUUUACCGACUGGAUGAGCAGCGAACGGGUGAGUAACGCGUGGGUAAUCUGCCUUUGAGCGGGGGACAACAUUUGGAAACGAAUUCUAAUACCGCAUAAAAACUUUAAACACAAGUUUUAAGUUUGAAAGAUGCAAUUGCUUCACUCAAAGAUGAUCCCGCGUUGUAUUAGCUAGUUGGUGAGGUAAAGGCUCACCAAGGCGAUGAUACAUAGCCUACCUGAGAGGGUGAUCGGCCACAUUGGGACUGAGACACGGCCCAAACUCCUACGGGAAGCAGCAGGAGGGAAUCUUCGGCAAUGGACGAAAGUCUGAACGAGCAACGCCGCGUGAGUGAAGAAGGGUUUCGGAUCGUAAAACUCUGUUGGUAGAGAAGAAAGUUGGUGAGAGUGGAAAGCUCAUCAAGUGGCGGUAACUACCCAGAAAGGGACGGCUAACUACGUG
rnacentral:rRNA from 1 species